rnacentral:ncRNA from 1 species
AUGGGGAGGAAACCGAUCUUUGCCAUUAUUUUUUAAGAAAAAAAUAAAGUUUGAUUCUGGCUUUCUCAUUAGCUUUUUAUAUUAAUUAUAUGUUAAUUUUUUAAUUAUUUUUUUUCAGUAAUUUGAUUUUUAUUAAUAUUUAUUUAUUUUGAGGAAUUUAAUUAAUAUUUGAUAAAUUUUGUGCCAGCAUUCGCGGUUAAACAAUUGAAUUUUGUUAAUGUUUUUGUAUUUAACAAUUUUAUUACUUUGAUUUUGUGUAAAUUUAUUUAGGUGGAAUUUAUAAGUUUUAUUUUAUUAUGUUUUUUAUUGUUUUAAGUUUUACAAUUAGACUAGGAUUAGAUACCCUAUUAUUUUUAAUCUAAUUAUUUUCAGAAUAUUAAUAGUUAUGUUCUAUAAAACUCAAAGAAUUUGGCGGUAAUUUAACUGUAUAGAGGAGCCUGUAAUUUAAUUGAUGAACCACAAUAGUUUCUACCAAAUAUUUAUUUGUAUACCGCUAUACCUUGAAAUGUUUUAUUGAGAACUAUUUUUUAUAAUCUUAUGAUUUUAUAUUAGGUCAAGGUGCAGUUUUUUUUUGGUAAUUAUGGGCUACUUUUAUUUUAUAUUAGUUGGAUAAAUUUUUUUUAAAAAUUCUUGAAAUUGGAUUUAUAAGUAAUUUAAGUUACUUAACUUUUUUGAAUUUAGCUCUAAAUUAUGUACAUAUCGCCCGUCACUCCCAAUGAUAUGGGAUAAGUCGUAACAAAGUAGUUGUACCGGAAGGUGUAGCUAGGAUGAU